AGGCGGCGCGCUGGACCCAGCGGAGCGCCCGGGGAGGGGCCGACGGACACGCGGACAGACGGAUCCCCCAACCCCCGCCCGGGACAUUAGCAACGGUCUGAGCGGGCCAUGUGGGGGCCCGGGGUCACAGCCGAGGGCCUGUCGGUGGCGCCCGCACCGCCGCCGCUGCUGCCGCUGCUGCUACUGCUGACGCUGGCGCUCGUGGCGCCCUCGCGGGGCGGCGGGGGCUGCGCGGACCUGGCGUGUGGCGAGCGGGAGCGCUGCUGCGACGCGGCCAACGCCACAGCGGUGCGCUGCUGCAAGCUGCCGCUGCACGCCUUCCUCGACAACGUGGGCUGGUUCGUCCGCAAGCUCUCGGGGCUGCUUAUCCUGCUAGUGCUCUUCGCCAUCGGCUACUUCCUGCAGCGCAUCAUCUGCCCCAGCCCACGCAGGUACCCGCGCGGUCAGGCGCGGCCCGGGCAAGCACGGCCCGGGCCGCCGGGGGCCGCGGGGCCGCCGGGGGCCGCUGGGCCGCCCGACGACGACGACGACUCGCCCGCGCUAAUGCGCGACGAGGCGGCUGCCGGCUCCCAGGACUCACUGCUGGACAGUGGAGGCGGGGGCCGGGGAGGCGGAGGGCGGUCGGCCCCCUCCUGCGCCUCCGAGCACGAGCUUCGCGUAGUCUCGCCGGUCUUCCUGCAGCUGCCCAGCUACGAGGAGGAAACGUUAGGCGCGCGCGGCGGGGGCCACAGCAGCGGACAACCCAGGAGCGCAACUUCGAAGGCCGUCCCUACCCUCAGCCUCUGCUCAGACUGUGUUCACUCAUUGAAAGAAACUGAUGAAUCGUUUUAUUUUGAGCAGCCCAGUGUUAACCAUCUCUGCAAAACUGAAUGACUCUGGAACCAUGUGAGCAGGUGGACUCUUUUCCCCAGGAAUGACUCUGGAACCAUCACUUGGACGGUGCCCUGUGAACAGCUCUCAACUGACUAACAAAUAGCCACUCAGCUGAUAGAUGGCAGUUUCAUCAUGAACACACAACAUUCUGUUUGGAAGGCCACCACUCUGACUAAAAACGAUGCAAAUGCUCAGAGUACUAUAAAAGAAGUGGAGCAGAAGAUAUUGCACAGAUUUGGACCACUGAAUCACAUUUCUUCAGACUAAGGAACACACUUUACAGUCCAUCAUAUCCAACAAUAGGCAGAGAGAUAUAGUAGUCCGCCUUUAUCCUCAGGGGUAUGUUCUGAGACCCUCAAUGCAUACCUGAAAGUGUGUGGUCCCUGGGCCAAGGCUGCAACUAUAUUGCUGGAAGCAGGAAUGAUUCCUAAGGAACAAAUUGUUUAAAAAUAUUUAUAUCAGAAUUCCCAAGGGCCUGAUGGGUGAGCUGUGCUUUCACUCUAUCUGGCAACAUUGGGGCUAAUGAAUCCAGUUAUUGCCUAUUGGUAGAAAUAGCCCACUAGUCCUGUACCUGUAUAACCCUACCCUAUAUGAAUGGGAGUAGACUGCAGGGGAGGCCUUUGCUAGACUUGUAUUGUUGUCUGCAAGCUAGACCAGCAAAGUGGCUGAACCUAAGGUCCCUUCCAAAGGUGAAAAGGUUUGGGUAUAAAUGGAGAGGAGGAAUAGUGGCUAAGAAUAAAGGUAUGAAUAAAUGUGUUGUGCAGUGUGAAUAAAAUGUGUUUCUAAUAUUAAUGCUUGGAAAGAAGCUCAGAGCAAGAGAUGUUGUCUCUUAACUCAAUUAUAACAAAUGCCUGAAAGUGUGAAGCUGAGACCACUCCUGCUUUUGGAACUUGACAAGACCACAUGGAAUGAAGUCUGUAAACCUAAGUGCCCUCACUCUGAGAGACAUUAUGGUCAUUGUAUAUGAUGAUUAUUGGACUAAUUAUUAGAGACUGCAUGGGAUUCUAGUAAUGUGCCAGAAUCUUUUGGCUCUUAUUUUUCAGUUUAUGUCUAUCAUAAUGUGAUACGCUAUAACCCACUUGGAUUGUUGGGAAGAUAAUACUGAUACAGAUAACCAUACUGGGAACUUGAUCAAUAGCUCCCUAUCCUUACCUCACAUUGAUUCCUCUAAAUGUUGCUGCAUUUUUUAUGCUCAGUUAGGUAUGUACCUUUGCCAUAAAAGAUCCUAUGGUCAAAGAGCAGGGGAUGGUCUGAAUAUAUCUGGUCUGAGAUGGGGUGUGUAGGGGGUGGGUGGUACAGAGCUUUCAAAAUCUUUGGAAUUUCCUGAGUGAUAGGAGCACCUUUUUUAUGCUAAUUAGGUGACUGUGUGUGUGUGUGUGUGUGUGUGUGUGUGUGUGUGUCUGUGUGUGUCUGUGUCUGUGUUAUGGAAGCUAGAUAGCUUCAGGAUGAGGACUGGUCAGCAGAAAAACCACAUGGUUAGAGUGCUAAAACUUUCAACCACCUGACCUCCAGAGAGAGGAAGAUUUCAAUCACAUGGGCAGUGAUUUAAUUAAUUGUACGUAUGUAAUAAAACCCUGAUAAGAAAUUCAGAACAGCAAGUCCUACAAGAGCUUCCCGAUUGGUGAGCACAUCAAUGUUCUGGGAGGAUGACGGUCCUAGAUUCUCUUCUCUCUACAAAGAGAAGGCAUAAUGAAAAACUCUAUGCCCCAACCCCAUCCCCCACCCCUCCCAGACCUCACUUUUCUCCUAGACUUUAUGCAUCUCUUCUGCUUGGCUGCUCCUGAGUUAUAUCUUUUAUAAUAAAACUAUAAUUAAAAGUAAAGCAUUUCAGUGAGUCAUUCAAAGUACCAAACCCAAAGGGGGCAUUUGGAAACCCCCAAAUUUGCUGCCAACUCAGAAGUGUGGGUAUCCUGGGGUCCCCGCAUGUGGCUGACAAUUGAAAUAAGAACAGUCUAAUUGGGAAUGCUGUCCUCUAACUUGUGGGACCUGACACUAACUCUGGGUAGUAUCAGAAUUGAAUUGUAGAACACCUUGUUAGUAUCUGAAUUGUUAGAAUGCAGACAUUUUUCAUAAUAUUUUUUAACUAUUAAAACUGUAGUAAAAUAAAUAUGAUAUAAAAUUUA